rnacentral:rRNA from 1 species
AGAGUUUGAUCCUGGCUCAGGACGAACGCUGGCGGCGUGCUUAACACAUGCAAGUCGAACGGAAAGGCCCUCACCUUGGUGGGGGUGCUCGAGUGGCGAACGGGUGAGUAACACGUGGGUGAUCUGCCCUGUACUUCGGGAUAAGCUUGGGAAACUGGGUCUAAUACCGGAUAGGACCAUGGUUUAGUGUCUCAUGGUGGAAAAAUUAUUGUUUUGGUGCAGGAUGAGCUCGCGGCCUAUCAGCUUGUUGGUGGGGUAAUGGCCUACCAAGGCGUCGACGGGUAGCCGGCCUGAGAGGGUGGACGGCCACAUUGGGACUGAGAUACGGCCCAGACUCCUACGGGAGGCAGCAGUGGGGAAUAUUGCACAAUGGGCGCAAGCCUGAUGCAGCGACGCCGCGUGGGGGAUGACGGCCUUCGGGUUGUAAACUCCUUUCGUUAGGGACGAAGCCACACCUUUUUUGGGUGUGGUGACGGUACCUUUGUUAAGAAGCACCGGCUAACUACGUGCCAGCAGCCGCGGU